UACGGAGGGAGCUAGCGUUGUUCGGAAUUACUGGGCGUAAAGCGCACGUAGGCGGCUUUGUAAGUUAGAGGUGAAAGCCCGGGGCUCAACUCCGGAACUGCCUUUAAGACUGCAUCGCUUGAAUCCAGGAGAGGUGAGUGGAAUUCCGAGUGUAGAGGUGAAAUGCGUAGAUAUCGUAAGGAAGACCAGUGGCGAAGGCGGGUCUCUGGACAGUUCCUGACGCUGAGGCACGAAGGUCAGGGGAGCAAACGGG
rnacentral:rRNA from 1 species